GAUGAACGCUGGCGGCGUGCCUAAUACAUGCAAGUAGAACGCUGAAGGAAGGAGCUUGCUCUUUCCGGAUGAGUUGCGAACGGGUGAGUAACGCGUAGGUAACCUGCCUGGUAGCGGGGGAUAACUAUUGGAAACGAUAGCUAAUACCGCAUAACAGUAGAUGUUGCAUGAUAUCUACUUAAAAGGUGCAAUUGCACCACUACCAGAUGGACCUGCGUUGUAUUAGCUAGUUGGUGAGGUAACGGCUCACCAAGGCGACGAUACAUAGCCGACCUGAGAGGGUGUUCGGCCACACUGGGACUGAGACACGGCCCAGACUCCUACGGGAGGCAGCAGUAGGGAAUCUUCGGCAAUGGACGGAAGUCUGACCGAGCAACGCCGCGUGAGUGAAGAAGGUUUUCGGAUCGUAAAGCUCUGUUGUAAGAGAAGAACGAGUGUGAGAGUGGAAAGUUCACACUGUGACGGUAUCUUACCAGAAAGGGACGGCUAACUACGU
rnacentral:rRNA from 1 species